CCUACGGGUGGCAGCAGUGAGGAAUAUUGGUCAAUGGGCGCGAGCCUGAACCAGCCAAGUCGCGUGGAGGAUGACUGCCCUACGGGUGUUAAACUUCUUUUAUAAAGGAGUAAAGUGAGGCGCGUGUGCCUUUUUAUAUGUACUUUAUGAAUAAGGUGCGACUAACCCCGUUCCAGCGGCCGCGGUAAUACUGGGGAUCCGAUCUUUGUCCGGAUUUAUUGGUUUUAGAGGGAGCGUAGAGGGGUUGUUAAGUCAGUUGGGAAAGUUUGCGGUUCAACCGUAAAAUUGAAACUGAUACUGGCAGCCUUGAGUACAGUUGAGGUAGGUGGAAUUCGUGGUGUAGCGGUGAAAUGCUCAGAUAUCACGAAGAACUCCGAUUGCGAAGGCAGGUUACUAAACUGUCACUGACAUUGAUGCGCGAAAGUGUGGGUAUCAAACAGGAUUAGAUACCCGGGUAGUC
rnacentral:rRNA from 1 species